UGGCUCAGUGGUUAAGAGCACUGACUGCUCUUCCAGAGGUUCUGAGUUCAAAUCUCAG
rfam:Rattus norvegicus chromosome 13, whole genome shotgun sequence.